CGGGACGGGUGAGUAACGCGUGGGUAACCUGCCUCAUACAGGGGGAUAACGUAGUAGAGCUGCUAAUACCGCAUAAGCGCACAGUACCGCAUGGUACGGUGUGAAAAACUCCGGUGGUAUGAGAUGGACCCGCGUCUGAUUAGCUAGUUGGUGAGGUAACGGCCCACCAAGGCGACGAUCAGUAGCCGACCUGAGAGGGUGAUCGGCCACAUUGGGACUGAGACACGGCCCAG
rnacentral:rRNA from 1 species